CAGCAGCCACGGGAAUACGAAGGGUGCAAGCGUUACUCGGAAUUACUGGGCGUAAAGCGUGCGUAGGUGGUGGUUUAAGUCCGUUGUGAAAGCCCUGGGCUCAACCUGGGAAUUGCAGUGGAUACUGGGUCACUAGAGUGUGGUAGAGGAUAGUGGAAUUUCCGGUGUAGCAGUGAAAUGCGUAGAGAUCGGAAGGAACAUCUGUGGCGAAGGCGACUAUCUGGGCCAACACUGACACUGAGGCACGAAAGCGUGGGGAGCAAACAGGAUUAGAUACCCCUGUAGUCCCUGUCUCUUAUAA
rnacentral:rRNA from 1 species